rnacentral:rRNA from 1 species
CGGGGUGCAGCAGGCGCGAAAACUUUACAAUGCCGGCAACGGCGAUAAGGGAACCUCGAGUGCCAGGUUACAAAUCUGGCUGUCGUGAUGCCUAAAAAGCAUUGCAUAGCAAGGGCCGGGCAAGACCGGUGCCAGCCGCCGCGGUAACACCGGCGGCUCGAGUGGUAACCGUUAUUAUUGGGUCUAAAGGGUCUGUAGCCGGCCGGGUAAGUCUCUUGGGAAAUCUGGCAGCUUAACUGUCAGGCUUUCAGGAGAUACUGCCUGGCUCGAGGCCGGGAGAGGUGAGAGGUACUUCAGGGGUAGGGGUGAAAUCUUGUAAUCCUUGAAGGACCACCAGUGGCGAAGGCGUCUCACCAGAACGGACCUGACGGCAAGGGACGAAAGCUAGGGGCACGAACCGGAUUAGAUACCCGGGUAGUCCUAGCCGUAAACGAUACUCGCUAGGUGUCGGCCACGGUGCGACCGUGGUCGGUGCCGUAGGGAAGCCGUGAAGCGAGCCACCUGGGAAGUACGGCCGCAAGGCUGAAACUUAAAGGAAUUGGCG